rnacentral:rRNA from 1 species
UGAGUGCGAGCUGCUACGGCAGCGAAGUUGGUGACGUCAUGCUUCCAAGAAAAGCCCUAUACCCGUUAAGGCAUCAUGGCCUGUACCCGAAACCGACACAGGUGGGGUGGUAGAGAAUACCGAGGGGCGCGAGGUAACUCUCUCUAAGGAACUCGGCAAAAUGGCCCCGUAACUUCGGGAGAAGGGGUGCCACCGCAAGGUGGUCGCAGUGAAGAGGCCCAGGCGACUGUUUACCAAAAACACAGGUCUCCGCUAAGUCGCAAGACGAUGUAUGGGGGCUGACGCCUGCCCAGUGCCGGAAGGUUAAGGAAGCUGGUCAGCGCAAGCGAAGCUAGCGACUGAAGCCCCGGUGAACGGCGGCCGUAACUAUAACGGUCCUAAGGUAGCGAAAUUCCUUGUCGGGUAAGUUCCGACCCGCACGAAAGGCGUAACGAUCUGGGCGCUGUCUCGGAGAGAGGCUCGGCGAAAUAGAAUUGUCUGUGAAGAUGCGGACUACGUGCACCCGGACAGAAAGACCCUAUGAAGCUUUACUGUAGCUUGGUAUUGUGCCCGGGCUCGCAAUGCGCAGGAUAGGUGGGAGGCUUUGAUCAUCGGCUUGCGGGUCGAUGUGAGCCAACGGUGAGAUACCACUCUUUGCGAGCUAGGGUUCUAACGGCCACCCGUCAUCCGGGGGCCGGACAGUACCUGGUGGGCAGUUUGACUGGGGCGGUCGCCUCCUAAAAGGUAACGGAGGCGCGCAAAGGUUUGCUCAGGCUGGUUGGAAAUCAGCCGACGAGUGUAAAAGCAGAAGCAAGCUUGACUGUGAGACCAACAAGUCGAACAGGGAGGAAACUCGGCUUUAGUGAUCCGACGGUUCUGAGUGGAAGGGCCGUCGCUCAACGGAUAAAAGUUACUCUAGGAUAACAGGCUGAUCUCCCCCAAGAGUUCACAUCGACGGGGAGGUUUGGCACCUCGAUGUCGGCUCAUCGCAACCUGGGGCUGAAGUCGGUCCCAAGGGUUGGGCUGUUCGCCCAUUAAAGCGGUACGCGAGCUGGGUUCAGAACGUCGUGAGACAGUUCGGUCCAUAUCCGGUGCACGCGCAGGAAUAUUGAGAGGAUUUCUCCCUAGUACGAGAGGACCGGGAGGAACGCACCUCUGGUGUACCAGUUAUCGUGCCAACGGUAAACGCUGGGUAGCCAUGUGCGGAGUGGAUAACCGCUGAAAGCAUCUAAGUGGGAAGCCCACCUCAAGAUGAGUAUUCCCAUGGCGUAAGCCAGUAAGGUCACGGGAAGAACACCCGUUGAUAGGCUCUAUGUGGAAGCGCAGUAAUGCGUGAAGCAGAGGAGUACUAAUAGACCGAGGGC